rnacentral:sRNA from 1 species
AUCGGAUAGGAUUAAAGGAAACAUGCAGUAGGACCCAAAAGAAAAGCCCCGGAACGCGUCGCUCCGAGGCUUCCAUGCGAGAGGACCUGCCGAUCGGAGCGUUUCACCGAUUCAAUGAAACGCUCCAGAGCAU